UCCCGCACUGCCCAUUCCUGUGGCUCCAUCAUCUCGGGAGGCAGCACCAAGUCUGGAUUAUAAAGGCAGAUUAGAUUGUGUCAAUCAAACAAGAUGACAGUAAAUAUGGCAGCUCAAAGUGGGAUUUAAUACCCCGUUUUAUUUUGAGGGUGCGCUAUUCUUUUAAGGUGAGAAACUAAGGCAAAGACGGGUUAAAUGUCUGAUGUCCGAUGCCGCUCUGUGGAGAUCUGCAAUCCCUCCCUACUCUGGCAGUGUGAAGCGGAGUGCUGUUCUGUUCACUAUGCAGCUCUAGCAUCUCCUUCCUCCUCCUGCUUCCCUUCCACACCCACCCACUGGGUAACCCCACUCUCCUCACAGACCUGCCCCUAGAAUCACACCUAAGUCAUCUGAAACCUACAUGUAAUCCAACAACAACAAAAGUCAUUAACACUGAGGGUGAAAAAUUAACUACUGAAUGACACACUCAGAGUUCACAGCUUGAACGGUCUUACUAGAAAUCAGUAAAAACUAAAAUUUUAA